GCGGGAGUAACUCAGUGGUAGAGUGCCACCUUGCCAAGGUGGACGUCGAGGGUUCAAAUCCCUUCUCCCGCU
rnacentral:tRNA from 2 species